rnacentral:sRNA from 1 species
CAUGCCCCUUAUACGCUGGGCUACACACGUGCUACAAUGGGUAGAACAGAGAGUCGCAAAGCUGUGAAGUGGAGCUAAUCUCAGAAAACUAUUCUUAGUUCGGAUUGUACUCUGCAACUCGAGUACAUGAAGUUGGAAUCGCUAGUAAUCGCGAAUCAGCAAUGUCGCGGUGAAUACGUUCUCGGGUCUUGUACACACCGCCCGUCACACCACGAGAGUUGGUUGCACCUGAAGUAGCAGGCCUAACCGUAAGGAGGGAUGCUCCGAGGGUGUGAUUAGCGAUUGGGGUGAAGUCGUAACAAGGUAUCCGUACGGGAACGUGCGGAUGGAUCACCUCCUUUCUAAGGAGUAUAAGUCUUUCUCUAUUCUAUUGGUAAUGUUCUUACAUUACUUCUGAACAUUGGAAACUAUAUAGUAGAACAAACAGGAAAAAAAUUAACUCUAACAAUUUCUUAGAGUUAGCUGUCAAAAAAUAGGUUAAAAUAAUUAAGGGCACACAAAGGAUGCCUAGGUAGUAAGAGCCGAUGAAGGACGUGGUAAGCUGCGAUAAGCCUAG